rnacentral:tRNA from 1 species
GGUAAAAUGGUCGAGUAGGCAUUAGACUGUAAAUCUAAAGACAGAGGUANANUCCUCUUUUUNCCA